rnacentral:lncRNA from 10 species
CUCAUCUCAGGGCUAGGGUUUCUGAAAAGGUUAUCUGAGCUCUAGUCUCACCGGAUGGUAUUACUAGACAAGAACUCCAGACUAAUUAUUGCCGCAGUGAAAAAGUCUUAGCGGGGAAAGAGAAGGAGCAGCAAUAAUUCUAAAAUUUAGAGGUUUAGGAAAAAUUGGUUUAUAGUGGAGGUGGAAGGAAAUGUUGAAAUCUCUUGACGUAGGGAACUCAAGAUCAACGAUUUUAGAAUCACAGUUAUUGCAGAUAACUAGGUUUGCCUAUAAGGUUAAUUAUAAUCUCACCUUUGAGGACUGGCAGCCUCCAUUUGCCUGUGAAGUAAAAAGCUUUCGUUUCACUCCAAGAGUCCAGCGCCUGAAUGAACUUGAGGCAAUGACCAGAGUGAGAUUGGAUUUCUUGGAUCAACUAGCAAAAUUUUGGGAACUUCAAGGAUCUACUCUGAAGAUCCCUGUGGUAGAGAGAAAAAUCCUGGAUCUGUAUGCUUUGAGCAAGAUUGUUGCCAGCAAAGGAGGUUUUGAAAUGGUCACCAAAGAGAAGAAAUGGUCUAAAGU